rnacentral:rRNA from 1 species
UACGUAGGGGGCUAGCGUUGUCCGGAAUCAUUGGGCGUAAAGCGCGCGUAGGCGGCCAGAUAAGUCCGGUGUGAAAGUCAAAGGCUCAACCUUUGAAUGCCGCUGGAAACUGUCUGGCUUGAGUCCGGAAGGGGCGAGUGGAAUUCCUGGUGUAGCGGUGAAAUGCGCAGAUAUCAGGAGGAACACCGGUGGCGAAGGCGGGUCUCUGGGCCGAUACUGACGCUGAGGAGCGAAAGCGUGGGGAGCGAACAGG